GGUAGAAUCAGCGUAACCUGUACCAAAACUUUAUUGCUAGAAUCAUGAGAACCUGGACCUAGAUUCAACAAAUUAUCAUUCAAAAUCUUUGGUAUAUCAUGUGAACACCUUCAAAAAGCUGGAUAUUCUGUUAUUUGGUACCACUCCCUCCGUUUAUGUACUGCUCCGCUUAUAAUAAAGUACAUUUUUAGGUACUACUCCCUCCGUUUAUAAGGCGUAUGCACAUAAGUGUAAUAAGGGCAAAUAGUGUCAUAUCAUAUAACAUCUUAUAAACAAGAAUAGAGGGAGUAUUUAGGAUGGAGAACUACUAUAUAUAUUGAGUUUUAUAUUGGGAAACCAUAGAAACCUCCCAUCUAUUCGGUGUACUUACUACGACUGGAGAUCCUUGUACCAUCCCGACAACAUUGGAAAUCCCUGUACCAUGCCUUCCAUUGGAUGUGUUUAUGGCUUAAUCAUGUGCACAUUGGAAAUCAAACAACC
rnacentral:lncRNA from 1 species